rnacentral:lncRNA from 1 species
GUGGCAGAAUGUGGGUGAGCACUGUUACCAAGGCACUUGCCACACAGGUGGCUGCCAGAAAGGUUCUAGCAGACCUAGGGUCAGCACCCUACUGGCCUAGAUCUGUGUGACUAAACCUUGCCCUGUCAUGUUUUUGCUUUGUUUCUGGGCUACAUUGUUGCUGCACUGGCAACAGAUGUGCCUGCCCAACCUGGCUGUCUCACAGCCAGGCUGGACCCCAUACCAAGUUCACCUGAACUCUGAGCCCCUAGCAGCUAAUAAGCCCUCUUCCCUCGAUUCUGAUCUCCCGCUCGAAUCACUCACUGCUCUUACUUCCCCAGAAGACCCUGGAGGCUUUGUUUAUGUGGAUUCCUCGGUGCCCACCAAGAUGUUGUCUCCACCUCAGAGGUUUGCUGGAUAGCUGUCCCCACAACUGGAUAAGGUUGCCGCCCCACAUCAAAGUCUGUGUGCCAAGCUACCUUGGCAAGAGAGGCUCCAAAAACUGGUUCUGAUGGUAGAUGGGGGUCAGAAUCAAUUUCCAGCUCUGACUCCUCACCUCAAAAGGAAGAUCCAGACUUCUGGGCUCCAUCACACUGCAGACCACCAGGCAGGUGAAGUACCUUUUGUACCUCUGGACAGGCAGCAGUCAAAAGCAGUAAAGUUUCUUUCACACCUGAACAAGAAGGAGGAGGAGCAGGAUCGGCAUCAGCAACUCCCUGAGGUGGUGGUUGGAACUCCACAUCAACUUGAAAAACCUAAGUUUCAGCCCACUCAACAUCGCCCAUCACCCCCGGUCACAGGCCCACCUUCCCACGUGGAUCCCAGCAGCACUGCCGUGCCCUCCACAGAGGCUGCACACUCUCCGUCCCUGCAGAAAUCUACAGCCCCUGUAACACUGACGGGGUGACGCUGCCACGCCCAGACCAGGUUCAGGCUCAGCAUCCAAUCCUGACAGAAGUCACCACUCAACCAUUGGAGGUGAAGGCUUUAACUGUGCUAGGUGCACAGAGCAGCACGACACACAAGGACAUAUGCGAGCUCUGUUCCUGCCAGGAGGAGACCCUGUCUUGCACUGAUCUCAGCCCCACCUGCAGGCGGCACGAGGUGCCUGCCCUCGAGCCCAGUGCACACAACAGGAAUGUCACCGUGUUGUAAGUGUCACCUUCCUCCUCUGUGUGCUCCACUGUCCCUGAUGUGGCAGCCUUUUCUAAAGGUCCCUGUGCCGUCCCCGCCCCCAGCCCAUGUGGACAGACUUUCUGCUUUUACCUUUUCCUUACCCUGGUCUCCCUUCCACUGUGUUCCUUUCCUAGUCUUUCAUUUGUAGCUGCCCUUGCCCAGUAGGUUCUUUCUUUUUGGUACCAGAAAUCAAACUCAGGACCUUUGCUUGCAAGGCAGGCAUGGCACAUGGAGGUCCGUCCCGGCCCAUAGGGGUGGUUCUGGCCCACAUGCCUGGGCUUGGGUUCAAUCCCAGUAUGGAAGAAGCAAGAAGAGCAUGGAGGA